UACAGGGGGGGGCAAGCGUUGUUCGGAAUUACUGGGCGUAAAGGGCUUGUAGGUGGCCAACUAAGUCACACGUGAAAUCCCCAGGCUUAACCUGGGAACUGCGUGUGAUACUGGAUGGCUUGAAUCCGGGAGAGGGAUGCGGAAUUCCAGGUGUAGCGGUGAAAUGCGUAGAUAUCUGGAGGAACACCGGUGGCGAAGGCGGCAUCCUGGACCAACACUGACGCUGAGGAGCGAAAGCCAGGGGAGCAAACGGGG
rnacentral:rRNA from 1 species